CCUACGGUAGGCAGCAGUGAGGACUCUUGGUCAAUGGUCGGGAGACUGAACCAGCCAAGCCGCGUGAGGGAUGAAGGUACAGAGUAUCGUACACCUCUUUUGUCAGGGAACAAAGGCGGGGACGUGUCCCCUGAUGAGUGUACCUGAAGAAAACGCAUCGGCUAACUCCGUGCCAGCAGCCGCGGUAAUACGGGGGAUGCGAGCGUUAUCCGGGUUUAUUGUGUUUAAAGGGUGCGCAGGCGGUCCGUUAAUUCAGCGUUAAAAGCCCGGGGCCAAACCCCGGCCCGCCGUUGAAACUGGCAGUAUCGAGUUGGAGAGAAGUAUGCGGAAUGCGCGGUGUAGCGGUGAAAUGCAUAGAUAUAGCGCAGAACUCCGAUUGCGAAGGCAGCAUGCCGGCUCCACACUGACGCUGAGGCACGAAAGCGUGGGUAUCGAACAGGAUUAGAUACCCUUGUAGUC
rnacentral:rRNA from 1 species